rnacentral:rRNA from 1 species
GGCUCAGGACGAACGCUGGCGGCGUGCUUAACACAUGCAAGUCGAACGGAAAGGCCCUGCUUUUGUGGGGUGCUCGAGUGGCGAACGGGUGAGUAACACGUGAGUAACCUGCCCUUGACUUUGGGAUAACUUCAGGAAACUGGGGCUAAUACCGGAUAGGAGCUCCUGCUGCAUGGUGGGGGUUGGAAAGUUUCGGCGGUUGGGGAUGGACUCGCGGCUUAUCAGCUUGUUGGUGGGGUAGUGGCUUACCAAGGCUUUGACGGGUAGCCGGCCUGAGAGGGUGACCGGCCACAUUGGGACUGAGAUACGGCCCAGACUCCUACGGGAGGCAGCAGUGGGAAUAUUGCACAAUGGGCGGAAGCCUGAUGCAGCAACGCCGCGUGCGGGAUGACGGCCUUCGGGUUGUAAACCGCUUUCGCCUGUGACGAAGCGUGAGUGACGGUAAUGGGUAAAGAAGCACCGGCUAACUACGUGCCAGCAGCCGCGGUGAUACGUAGGGUGCGAGCGUUGUCCGGAUUUAUUGGGCGUAAAGGGCUCGUAGGUGGUUGAUCGCGUCGGAAGUGUAAUCUUGGGGCUUAACCCUGAGCGUGCUUUCGAUACGGGUUGACUUGAGGAAGGUAGGGGAGAAUGGAAUUCCUGGUGGAGCGGUGGAAUGCGCAGAUAUCAGGAGGAACACCAGUGGCGAAGGCGGUUCUCUGGGCCUUUCCUGACGCUGAGGAGCGAAAGCGUGGGGAGCGAACAGGCUUAGAUACCCUGGUAGUCCACGCUGUAAACGGUGGGUACUAGGUGUGGGGUCCAUUCCACGGGUUCCGUGCCGUAGCUAACGCUUUAAGUACCCCGCCUGGGGAGUACGG